GGGGGGAAGAGGAAGGUAAUUAACCACAAAAAAAAAUCCUCCGAGUACGCCGCUCAGUUACUGCUUUCCCAGUGUUCCCUUUAACUCCGAACCACUUCGCAGAACAAUCUGUGGAGUAUUUUGCAGCACUGAGUGCCUUGGAUCGCGGCACCGUCUCACCUCCUUACUCAGAGAGUCAGUCUGAUCGGCAGCGAGUCACAGGGAUCCGAGUCUCCAGAAGAGAAAGACGGACACACACACAGAGAGAGAGAGAGA